ACGGCGAGUGAAGCGGCAAUAGCUCAAAUUUGAAAUCUGGCUUUUUUAAAGUCCGAGUUGUAAUUUGUAGAGGAUGCUUCGGCUUACGCCCCGGCCUAAGUUCCUUGGAACAGGACGUCACAGAGGGUGAGAAUCCCGUUUGUGGCCGGCGGCUUCCGCUAUGUGAAGCUCCUUCGACGAGUCGAGUUGUUUGGGAAUGCAGCUCUAAAUGGGAGGUAAAUUUCUUCUAAAGCUAAAUAUUGGCCAGAGACCGAUAGCGCACAAGUAGAGUGAUCGAAAGAUGAAAAGCACUUUGGAAAGAGAGUUAAAAAGUACGUGAAAUUGUUGAAAGGGAAGCGCUUGCGACUAGACUUGCCUACAGUUGCUCCGCCGGUCCUUCGACCGGUGUAUUCUUCUGUGGUCAGGCCAGCAUCAGUUCGGGCGGUUGGAUAAAGGCCUUGGGAAUGUGACUCUCUUCGGGGAGUGUUAUAGCCCUCGGUACAAUACAGCCUGCCUGGACUGAGGACCGCGCUUCGGCUAGGAUGCUGGCGUAAUGGUCGUAAGCGGCCCGUCUUG
rnacentral:rRNA from 1 species